AGGGUUAUAUGAUCAAGUAAUUAAGAGCACAAGGAU
rnacentral:rRNA from 1 species